GACGAACGCUGGCGGCGUGCUUAACACAUGCAAGUCGAACGGAAAGGCCCUGCUUUUGUGGGGUGCUCGAGUGGCGAACGGGUGAGUAACAAGUGAGUAACCUGCCCUUGACUUUGGGAUAACUUCAGGAAACUGGGGCUAAUAACGGAUAGGAGCUCCUGCUGCAUGGUGGGGGUUGGAAAGUUUCGGCGGUUGGGGAUGGACUCGCGGCUUAUCAGCUUGUUGGUGGGGUAGUGGCUUACCAAGGCUUUGACGGGUAGCCGGCAUGAGAGGGUGACCGGCCACAUUGGGACUGAGAUACGGCCCAGACUCCUACGGGAGGCAGCAGUGGGGAAUAUUGCACAAUGGGCGGAAGCCUGAUGCAGCAACGCCGCGUGCGGGAUGACGGCCUUCGGGUUGUAAACCGCUUUCGCCUGUGACGAAGCGUGAGUGACGGUAAUGGGUAAAGAAGCACCGGCUAACUACGUG
rnacentral:rRNA from 1 species